UACGUAGGGGGCAAGCGUUGUCCGGAUUUAUUGGGCGUAAAGAGCGUGUAGGCGGCCAGACAGGUCCGUUGUGAAAACUCGAGGCUCAACCUCGAGACGCCGAUGGAAACCGUCUGGCUAGAGUCCGGAAGAGGAGAGUGGAAUUCCUGGUGUAGCGGUGAAAUGUGUAGAGAUCGGGAGGAACACCGGUGGCGAAGGCGGGUCUCUGGGCAAUUCCUGACGCUGAGGCGCGAAAGCGUGGGGAGCAAACAGG
rnacentral:rRNA from 1 species